CCUAGACUGAACAUGGACAAGGCGCAGGAGAAACCGAAGGAGAGCUACCGGAGCUGGGGAACCAUCUGUUAAAGGGUUACCUCGGUGGAAGCAAACAAUAUUCUCCAGUUGGAGCAGUUGGACGGUCGACCACUGAAAGCACUGACGCCCUACACUUCUGUGAAGCCCAAUAGACAAAGACCAUCGACUGUCCGAGCCCCCCAGAGGGUAUCCCAUCCACCAGAACCAGUAAGUUUGGAUCGGUCUGAUUCUCUGUGCCCUGAGUUGGAGGGGGACCAGCUUGAGGACCUAGGGGUUCUGACUAACACCCAGACGUGGAUCCACCUGAUGUCCUCCAUUACCAACCCCCCUCCAACUUUUCAUUACAUGAGCUACAGCUACUGUUAUUAUCAUGUUGUCAUUAUCUGCUAAGAAAUGUUUCUUGCUCUAUCAUACUGGGCACAUAAUAUGUGAGAUACACAGAUUAACUAAAAACACUAGCACUGCAAACACUCUGAACAAUGAGAGCAGCAGUGCCUGGACUUUGCAGUCUCCCUCUUCAAGUCCCCCUUCCGAGACUGGCUGCCUGUUGAGAACAAGUGACAGGCAGGACCUCCCAAACGUAGUAACGUUUAAGACAUUUAAUGUCUGGAUUUAAUGUUGUAACGGUUAACAAGGUACUCAAAAGUAGUUUGAAGUAAUGUUUUCAUUUUAUUAGCUAAACAAAACUAGUUUAAACAGUGAAAUUGUGGUGUAAAUCAGCCUUGUUUGCAUAGCGAUGAUGAAAAUAAUGUAAUUUAGGCUGUACUGAUCUCCAAAUUUCUAAUCAUUAGGUCAUCACACCGUUGUAUUGCAACGGACGCUAAUAGUUGAUCGAAUCCCAUUGUGACGCAGAGGGGGACACUAUUUGGCCGGGGGACAUUAUUUGGCAUGACAUGCCCUUUGGUUACCAUAACGCCCCUGUGGUCUGUUCAAUGUCCACUAGAGGCCCCGAGUCUUACAACCACUGCUCCUAAACCCCAGUCCAGCUAGGGCAGGUGGCUGGACUAUACUGAAGACUCCCUGCAGGAGAGACUCAUUCACUCACACAGCAACUGGCAAUCUGUGGGACCCUGCUCCAGUUGCGCACCACGACGUAGUGAUAUUUGGGUGUCCGAAAUGCAAUGAGUCAGGAGUCAGUCAGGGUUACGGCUGAUCCAGGGCAGUUUACUGUUACAUGUACAGAGGUGUUGGGCAUUAACUGUGCCAAUUGAUGAGGGCUAAUAAAAGUCCCUAUGGGUUUUACUAUGA